rnacentral:tRNA from 1 species
GUCUCCAUAGCUCAGUGGUUUAGAGCGGCCGCCUGCCAGUCAGCAUAGCGGCAGGUCACGUGUUCAAAUCACGUUGGGGACU